rnacentral:misc_RNA from 1 species
UUUCCGUAGGUGAACCUGCGGUAGGAUCAUUCAUAAUAAGUGUUUUAUGCCACUUUUUUCAUUCCAUAUCCACCUUGUGUGCCAUGUCAGGGUUGAUUUUUAUCUCGACAUGAUCAGCCCCAAACAUCAACUAUAUCUCAACUCUUUGUCUGAAAAAUAUUCUGAAUAAAACAAUUCAAAAUACAACUUUCAACAACGAAUCUCUUUGCUCUCUCAUCGAUGACGAACGCAUCAGAACAGAAGAACACCCAUCUUAACUCCAUUCACUCAUACACAACC